GGGGAUGUUUUGGUUUUGACAGCAAAUUGAAUCGGAAUGUAAGCAUGCCGGGCGUUGUAUGGUGGCCCGUAAAUCCCAACAUGCAAGCCAUAACUGGCGAAAACAAUUAUGCACUCGCUGCGUAGUCUGCCAAGCACACUACCUUAAUCCUGCCGGCCAAGGCUGCCGGUACGACGAGUAUCCCGCCGGAGCGUUCCGCUCUUUAACUUCCGGCAUACGGGGUAUCAACCAUUAAGAGAUAGCCGCGCUGACGCUUCUACCGCCCGGCGAAAUUUUAGAAGCUAAGAACGAUGUAUAGGCGUUUGCGCCCGGCACCGUUACGAAAACCAAUCGCAAGCUAAGCAUGUAGAAAGCAUUUGGAUGAUUUGUUUGGACGCGGGUUCGAUCCCCGCCAUCUCCACAA
rnacentral:tmRNA from 1 species